GACGAACGCUGGCGGCGUGCUUAACACAUGCAAGUCGAACGAUGAAGCACCAGCUUGCUGGUGUGGAUUAGUGGCGAACGGGUGAGUAACACGUGAGUAACCUGCCCCUCACUCUGGGAUAAGCCUGGGAAACUGGGUCUAAUACUGGAUACGACCGAUCUCCGCAUGGAGUGUUGGUGGAAAGUUUUUGUGGUGGGGGAUGGACUCGCGGCCUAUCAGCUUGUUGGUGGGGUAAUGGCCUACCAAGGCGACGACGGGUAGCCGGCCUGAGAGGGCGACCGGCCACACUGGGACUGAGACACGGCCCAGACUCCUACGGGAGGCGGCAGUGGGGAAUAUUGCACAAUGGGCGAAAGCCUGAUGCAGCGACGCCGCGUGAGGGAUGACGGCCUUCGGGUUGUAAACCUCUUUCACCAGGGACGAAGCUAACGUGACGGUACCUGGAGAAGAAGCACCGGCUAACUACGUG
rnacentral:rRNA from 1 species